ensembl:lincRNA
GGCCCUGCCCUCCGCGAGCCCCCCGGGGGUGGCGGGCCGGGGGGCGCCAGGACGCCCCUGCGGCGCCCUCGCCUGGCCCCGACUCACCGCUGGGCGCUGCGGGCGGCUCCUAGAGCCGUUCGCUCCUCCUGCGCGGCGCCGCGGGCUCGGCUCCACCUCCCGCUCUGGCUGCCGCCGAGCCUCCGGGGACCCGCGGGCGGGGAGCGCGGAGCCGUCGCCAAGCCAGGAGCCGGGGCUGGGGCUGGGGGGCGGCGAGCCGCGGGCGGGGCGGGGGGCGCGCCGGCCCGAGCGGCUCCCCGCGCGCCGGGCGCGCCCGAGACCACCCCGCAGGUGGCGGCUCCGCGCGCGCCCGAGGCCAGAGAAGUUGCGGGAGGGGCGAAGACGCGGCGGCAGCCGGGCUCCGGCCGAGAGAGAGAGGGUCGGUAUCUCCUCGGCGAGGGUGGUCCUUCCUCUUUCCGGACCCCCUCCCUCCCACCCGUCUGGCCCCUUGCGGCUCUGGGCGGCCCUCCCUGCCCUGGGCCGACUCACUCACCAAAACUUUGCAGACGGCGCUGGGGAGAAUUAAUCCCGGAGUCGCCGUCUACGCGGCCCUGGGGGGUUAGGACGCCCGCCCGGGAGAGAGCGUGGACUCGCCGCGCGCGAUGGUCGGAAAGCGGUCGGUCCAGGAGCAGGACAAAAAGGACAAGACGUCCUCCCAUCCCGGCGCCCCUACCGAGCACUCUUCCCCGAGUGCCAGACGGCUGGCACAAUUCCGCGGGCUCCUGCUGUCAACAGGAGCAGCGAGACCUCACGGAGAAGCAUAUAGCACGCCAAGCGGCUUGCCCGAGACGCUGCCACUCUGCUUCUGUGCACCCGGCAUCCCCUAGCCCACCCCAGGAGACAAGAAACGCCUUACAGGGGGGAAUCACAGAAAACAACUAGAGCGGGGCAGCACCAGAGACGAACGCACAUCUGGUCUGCAUCCACCUGACAUAAAAUCCUGAGAUCCAAACACAGAUGAGCUCAAGACAGGGCCUUCUAUUUCUACAGCAGUCGCGGUAAUCCACCCUUGAAGAGAUCUAGCUCAGCUGGGCCUGUCUUCUCAGACAGCAGGAAUACUGGCUUGUAGACAUAUCCCUUGGACACCCCAGGUCUCUAAAGUAUACAGACAACUCCGUACACACAGCCCUUUUAACUCUGUGCAGACAACCUUUUUAACUCUGAUGGAUAGAUUAUUUUAAAUAUUAUUACUUCUUUCCAAGCAUUACUAGCAGCUUUAAAAAAAAAUAGAUCACUUAAUUUAUCACCUAAGUCAGUAUCUUCAAAGUUCUGUCCGACUUCCAGGCCUUACUCUGGGCCCUGUCACUUCUAUAAAUACAUGUUAUAAUAAGGCCUCCAUUAAAAAGAGAAUGUGUUUCAAUAACACGUUAUUGUAAGAAUCUUUAUUACUGACAAUAGACAUAGGCUGUAUAAGGUGUACUCAAGGAUGUUAGUGGCUCAGUGGUAAAGAAUCUGCCUGCCCAUCCAGGAGACAUGGGUUCGAUCCCUGGGUUGGGAAGAUCCCCUGGAGAAGGAAACAGCAACCCACUCCAGUAUUCUUGCCUGGAGAAUCCCAUGGGCAGAGGAGCCUGGCGGGCUACAGCCCACAGGGUUGCAAAGAGUUGGACACGACUUAGUAACUAAACAAUAAGGAUGUCAGAACAGGAAAGCUCGUAUGUAAAAUAUUAACACUUGGUGAUGAGAGGGGCAAGGAUAGUCAAAAUCAAUAGGUCAGGGAUAACUCCUCCUGAAGGAGAAGCAAUAAGUUCAAUUGCUAUUUUUGUUUAGUAAUUAAGGCAUGUCUGACUCUGCAACCCCAUGGAUUGUAGCUCACCAGGCUCCUCUGUCCAUGGGAUUUUCCAGGCAAGAAUACUAGAGUGGGUUGCCAUUUCCUCCUUCGGAGAAUCUUCCUGAACUAGGGAUCAAACCUGAGUCUCUCACAUCUCCUGCAUUGGAGUUCCUUUAUCACUGAUAAAGGGAAGCCCAAGAAGUGUGAUGACC